CCUACGGGAGGCAGCAGUGAGGAAUAUUGGUCAAUGGGCGCGAGCCUGAACCAGCCAAGUAGCGUGAAGGAUGACUGCCCUACGGGUUGUAAACUUCUUUUAUAAAGGAAUAAAGUGCGGCACGUGUGCCCUUUUGUAUGUACUUUAUGAAUAAGGAUCGGCUAACUCCGUGCCAGCAGCCGCGGUAAUACGGAGGAUCCGAUCGUUAUCCGGAUUUAUUGGGUUUAAAGGGAGCGUAGGUGGGUUGGUAAGUCAGUUGUGAAAGUUUGGGGCUCAACCCUGUAAUUGCAGUUGAUACUGGCAGUCUUGAGUACAGUUGAGGUAGGCGGAAUUCGUGGUGUAGCGGUGAAAUGCUUAGAUAUCACGAAGAACUCCGAUUGCGAAGGCAGCUUACUAAACUGCCACUGACGUUGAUGCUCGAAAGUGUGGGUAUCAAACAGGAUUAGAUACCCUGGUAGUC
rnacentral:rRNA from 1 species